rnacentral:rRNA from 1 species
CCUACGGGUGGCAGCAGUGGGGAAUAUUGGUCAAUGGGCGCAAGCCUGACCCAGCAACGCCGCGUGAAGGAAGAAGGCUUUCGGGUUGUAAACUUCUUUUGACAGGGAAGAGUAGAAGACGGUACCUGCCGAAUAAGCCACGGCUAACAACGUGCCAGCAGCCGCGGUAAUACGGAGGUGGCAGGCGUUGUGCGGAUUUAGUGGGUGUAAAGGGCGUGUAGCCGGGUUGUCAAGUCAGAUUUGAAAUCCUGCGGCUUAACCGCAGAACUGCAUUUGAAACUGUUGAUCUUGAGUACUGGAGAGGCAGGCGGAAUGUGUGGUGUAGCGGUGAAAUGCGUAGAUAUUAGGCGGAACACCGGUGGCGAAGGCAGUCUGCUAGACCGCGACUGACGGUGAGGCGCGAAAGCGUGGGGAGCAAACAGGAUUAGAUACCCCUGUAGUC